AUGAUAAUCCACUUUGCUCGAGUUUCUGUUUUGAUGCUUCAGUUGUUAUUGCUUGGACUGGGGUUUAUGUAUAUGAGAUCGACGUGUGUCACAUUAUUUUGUACUUGCCAUGUGAUCUUUGUUCUUGGGAAGUGUUGACUUUGAGCUGCUUUUUGAUUUGUCGUCUCAUGUAGUCAUCUGCAAGGCAUGCAUUACCGAACGAUUAGGCUGUUGGAAGCAGGGAUACAGCCAGUCUACGUAUUUGAUGGUAAACCUCCUGAUUUGAAGAAGCAAGAGCUCGCACAACGGUGACACAACAGCACAAUGAAGACUGCAAAAAACUAUUGAGACUUAUGGGUAUCCCAGCAGUUGAGGUUACUAUUCUGUCUGAGAAGUUCAUUCUUCUUUAUUCGUAACAAAAAUGUUAGAUACCAGAUUCAGUUUAUGUAUGUCAGGCCCCUUCAGAAGCAGAGGCACAAUGUGCUGCUCUUUGAAAAGCU